rnacentral:rRNA from 1 species
UUUCCGGUUGAUCCUGCCGGAGGCCAUUGCUAUUGGGAUCCGAUUUAGCCAUGCUAGUCGUACGAGUUCAGACUCGUGGCGAAUAGCUCAGUAACACGUGGCCAAACUACCCUUCGGACCGCAAUACCCUCGGGAAACUGAGGCUAAUAGCGGACACCACACGCAGACUGGAAUGUCGCGUGUGUCAAACGCUCCGGCGCCGAAGGAUGUGGCUGCGGCCGAUUAGGUAGACGGUGGGGUAACGGCCCACCGUGCCAAUAAUCGGUACGGGUCAUGAGAGUGAGAACCCGGAGACGGAAUCUGAGACAAGAUUCCGGGCCCUACGGGGCGCAGCAGGCGCGAAACCUUUACACUGCACGCCAGUGCGAUAAGGGGAUCCCAAGUGCGUAGGCAUAGAGCCUACGCUUUUGUCCACCCUAGGGUGGUGGACGAAUAAGGGCUGGGCAAGACCGGUGCCAGCCGCCGCGGUAAUACCGGCAGCCCGAGUGAUGGCCGAUCUUAUUGGGCCUAAAGCGUCCGUAGCUGGCCGCACAAGUCCAUCGGGAAAUCCACCUGCUCAACAGGUGGGCGUCCGGUGGAAACUGUGUGGCUUGGGACCGGAAGGCGCGACGGGUACGUCCGGGGUAGGAGUGAAAUCCUGUAAUCCUGGACGGACCGCCGAUGGCGAAAGCACGUCGCGAAAACGGAUCCGACAGUGAGGGACGAAAGCUAGGGUCUCGAACCGGAUUAGAUACCCGGGUAGUCCUAGCCGUAAACACUGCCUGCUAGGUGUGGCACCCACUACGAGUGGGUGCUGUGCCGUAGGGAAGCCGCUAAGCAGGCCGCCUGGGAAGUACGUCCGCAAGGAUGAAACUUAAAGGAAUUGGCGGGGGAGCACUACAACCGGAGGAGCCUGCGGUUUAAUUGGAUUCAUCGCCGGGA